CAGAAACAGUGGGCAAGGGCAGUGUCCUUGGCCACUCUUUGGGAAACUAGUAUCAGAGGGAAUGGAAGAAGCAGGAGGGAGGAGCCAAAGAUAGUGAUGGAAAUGCGAAAGGAACAGCACCGACCCAGGGCCCAGGGCCAAAGCUAUGAGAUGUGGAUAGUGCCACCUACAUUCAUGGGUUUUCCUCCUCCACUGAACCUAUCUGGACUUGCCCUCACAGGAACAGGAUGGAGCUGUCUAUAGCAAUCAUGUUGUUGGAAACCACCACACGUAGAAGAAACAGCCUUCACCCUUGAAGCUGUGGUGCACUUGACCUUGGUGUUGUUUCCCCUGCUAUCUCUACUCAGUGCUCAUACCCACUGAAAGGCAGCCCCCCUCCUCCCUCCCCCUCUCCUCUCUGUCACUCUAUCUCUCUCUCUUUCAGAUCCUCCAUUUCUCUCAGAAAGCUAAGCAUAGGAAUCUGCCCAGGCCCUAAUAAGGAUGCUUACAAUGUCUAACUUCUAACAGCUCACAGAAAAACUUCAGCUGGGCAUUCACUAGAAGGGAUUACAUGGUGAGCGAGGAGGACAGCUGAGCUGGCAGCCUCUACCACUGCUCUGGAAGAACCAUCUGCACAGAUGUCAAGAGGCAUCUGUCUACACAAGUGCAGCUGUGCCUCACCCCAGCAUGGUCUUCACCCUGCUAUGGUCCCAACCUGCCUGACCCAUUUGGAAAUACUCAGCUUUAGGACAGAGGUUGUCAAUCAAUGACUCUUAGAUAGUUAUUAUGAUGACUGGGGACAAUUUGGUGGGAUCCUGCAAUGAAACAUAGGCAUGGACCUAAAAAAUACAGGACUAGUGUGCCAGAAGAAAACAAUGGCCUGGGUUCGGGUCUGGAUGGAGUCCUGGGGGAAGCCUUAGUGGGUGGGAGGUAGGAGGGGAAGCCAUCCUUCUCAUUCUCACCUCAUCCACUGGAGGACAUCCGAGAAAAGCUGCAUAUCAAAGCUGUUGUGUGGAGGCCCCCAGAUCUGGCCCAACAUCAGCUGGUAAAUUCCAGCCAGAAAGAGUCUAGCUGAUCUCUGGAGCUGAUGCAAGUUGCUCCAAUUCCCUGGUGAACAGGUACAAUCCGGCACCAGUCUCCAACUGCUGCACCUACUCUCUAGCCUCCUUCUCACAUGGUGGUUUGAGGCUACUUUCUACAUCUACUCCUGGGCAGCACAGUCCAGAUGUUCCUACGAGGUAGAAUGCUUUCCAUCUCCACUAGAUCAGUUUGUUUCAAACCCUUAUUCUGGUACCCUCUACUAGCAAGCCUGAUCAACCCAGUGCUGUUCUCCAUACCCAUGUAUAUAUUCUACAGGUGACAACUCUGAGCUCUGGUUCCAUGAAGGCAAUAACACAGCUACAUGGAAAGUUUGUUGACAUGAUCAAGACCAAUAAAAGCACCAAGCGCAGAGCCCAGCAUAAAGUGAGCCCUGGGCAUGUGUCUUGUCUUCUAUGUUAGUUCAUUCUGGCCACUAUAACAAAAUACCAUCAACUGAGUCACCUAUGCAUCAGGAGAAAAAUCUCAUAGUUUUAGAAACUGAGAAGUCAAAGAUCAAGAUCCCAGAAAAUUUAGCAUCUGGAAGGCCUACUUCCUGGUUUGGAGAUGGCACUUUCUUCCUAUGUCCUUACACGGCUGUCUGGGGUAGUUUUAUAAGGAUGCUAAUUAAUAUCAUCCAUAACCUAAUUACCUUCCAAAGACCCACAUGCUAUUACUAUCACAAUGAAGAUUUUAGGAUUUCAAUACAUGAUUGGGGUGGGAGGAACACAAAUGAUCAGGCUAUAACUGACACUCUUCCCAAGCCUGCCUGCCUGCCUUCCUCGCCCCUCCAACUCAAUCCUUCCAGCGAGUCCCAAGCAUCCUAAAUGAUCCUCACUCAUCUGCCUCUGUUUCACUCCAUUCAGAUUCUCAGUGAGCCUCUGGAGUUCCUCUAAACUGUUGCCUUCCUAAGUGGAUCUACACGCUAUUUUCUGGGUCAACUACAGAGAAGGACCCAUUCAUCCCUGUGCUCCCACAGCAUCCAACAAAGGUAUUGAAGAGGAUGGAUUGGCGGAUGUACAGAUGGCUGCAGUCACGUGCCAAGUUGACUUGGGGCCAAGGCAAGAAGGCUGCAAGGAACUCUCUUCAAUGCUUUCACCCCGAUUAUUGUUCACGUUCUGUCUGCCAUCGCUGUCAAACCACAAACAUGGGUGGUGCUGACUGAUGGUAGCGGGUGUUGGAUGCUGCCUCCAUUUGCAGUUUUGCCCAAGCCCUCACGUAUUGAGCCUGCCCCAGGCUCCAUGCACCGCAGAGCUCAGAGCAAAGGCCUGGGUGGAGAGCACACUUGCCCUCCCCUGUCCACCUGCCCAGCCUCGCCCUCAGAAAUUGCCACAGAGAAAGAGAACUGACCGUACCAGCAGAGAUUUUGCUGUCCUCACGCUCGACACCAAAGUCUGGAUGCCAGCCAACCACUCUCUUCCCAGGGCAAGCUUGUAUUCCAAUCACAUGGAAGUUCAGCUGGGCUGACACUUCUAUGCAGCCCUCAGUAAAUCCAGAGCUCCUUGACAGCAGGAAUGGUAUCAUCCUCACUGCCCAGUCCAGUCAUACAGUCCUUGACACAGAGUUGGCAGAGGAAAUGUUUGUAGGCUAAAGAAAAUGAACAGGCAUCCUAGAUACAGCCGGCUGUUGCUACGAGAAAGCAGUGGUGGGCGCUCAUCCCCGCUAAGAAGGUGCAUGCCAACUCUGCCUCUGCCCGGAUGGGUGGAUGACCUUAGCUAGUCCCUGGACCUCUUCAAUGUGAACUCAUAGUAAUGGAUGGUAGCACUCAGCUAUUGCCUGUGCUUGUUUGAAUCACACAGGGAACUUCUGAUGUUGGUCUUUGGAAGGACCCUAGCCAGAACCAGUGACCCCCUCCCGUAAUAGUUCCUGCCCCAGCUUUGCCCUGCCAGGGCCUGUAUGCAUGAGCUGGUGGGUUGCAGACAGUGAGCAUCCCCCGUUUCCGGGUUUCUGCAGCCUGGGCUAUCUGUAAUCACCCUGACCCCAAUCUUUCCAUGUGAAUUAUGUAAAGAGAGUUCUCUAAAACACGAGGCCUAUGAAAAGUUCCAGUGUUCCCUCUCUACCACUCAUGUCAUCUUUCCCAACUUAAUAAGGACCAUGGCUUAUUAGCUGUUCCCAUCCAGUCCAUCCUGUCCUGCGCCUGCACACGUGAGACUAAAAAUACCCAUGGCUCCUAUUAGACACUCUGCCCUAGGGACAGGCCAAGCCUGAGUCGGCACUGACACUGAAAGUUGGCUCUUGCAGCCCUGGGAUCCAGGCCACUAGGCUGUUUUCCCCAGAAGCACCCUCCUGACUGGGCCCUGGGGGUCCACAGAAUUGAUCAAAAGGCUGCUGCCUGGGUUUGUUUGGAGCUCUGUGAACUCUCCAAAGCCUUUGCCUCUGCCUGACUCAUCUGCCUGUUAAACAACUUCACCCUG